UAGCCAUGGAGAGGGAACUGAUUUAACAGAUCUUUGAAUCUUUCCUAGACUUGAUAAAACGUUUCAUUGUCUUUUUGGAAAAAUGUGGAGAUCUCUCAUUUUAGACU